GUUAGGUGUGCCAUAGCAGCAGCUUCGUCUUCUUCUUCUUCUUUGCUGGUCGCCAAUGUUUCCUUCGGAGAGCUCCGCCCCUCUGUUUACAUGACGUCAUCGGAAUCGAAGGCGAAAGCGGAAACGGCGCUACCAUGGAUUUGGUGUUUUCAGCUUUGCUUGGUAUGGUGACUACUCCUAGAGCCGACUGAAGCAGGGGGGCUACUCUGUGUUGGACAUCACACCACCCCCCCCCCCCAUCACCAACACUUUGCUGCUUCGAUCCUGCGGCGGUUCAAACAAACACGCUCCACCACUCACUCACGUUGUGUACUUUGGCCAAACGUCCUCCAUCCCUUUACUUAUGUCAAUACUACUGAUGAAAACAUGGGCCACAUGUUUGGAGCAGAGCAUAAUAAAUCCACUUAAAGCAUGACCAGUGGCUGAGCUGUGUGUAUCUCAAAAUAUCAGAACAAUACCAGGUAAAAAAAACCCACAUUUUCCAUAGAAAAUAGAAUGUAUGCAUUUGUUUUUAUGUUUCCCCGUGUUCCACAGGCCGGCACUGGAUGCAGCGUGAUCAGAGACCCAGACCAGAAGAGAAAAUCUGGAAUUAAAUCCAACAACUCUGACCUAUUUAUGCAAACCAUUUAAACAUGUGCUUAACAUUUCUGCUGCUAUUUAAACAGAGUCCACAUUGUUCUUCACUGUUUCACCAAAUCUCCUGGAGAACCAUAGGCUGCACAAGGUCAAAUGUAUCUUGAAGCUUCAUCAACCCGUUGUCAACAUGUCCAAAGCAAGACCACAACACGAGCUGGAGGCACCUAAAGCCCAUGUAGUGGUCUUCCCAGGACGUUGAGUCUAGGGUUAGACACAGUUUGGACCUCUACUGCUCUUCUCCGAUCCCCCUCCACAGCGGUCCUGCUGGUUCACGCGCUGCACUCAGAGUCCCCCCCCCUCCCCCGCUGGUCUUCAGGCCGCUUGGACUUCCUGCUCCUGCACAGCACUCGGUUCUUGGCAG